UAAUAUCAUCAUUUAGGACUGAGGAUGAUGAAAAAUAUUUUAAAGAUGACAAGCAGUUUGAUUCACUUUCCAUAAUAUCAUGUAAUCUCCAAGAUAUACACGGUAGAGCACUAAGUUAUUGCCAUUUAUGAGACUUAGCAUUAAAUAAGAUGGUGGGAAAUCUUAUUACUUUCCUUAGAUUAUGCAGUUAUAUGUACCAUGAUUUAUGCCAAUUACUUUUCAACAGCGUACAUCUUUCUAACAACUUUUAA
rnacentral:lncRNA from 1 species